GACGAACGCUGGCGGCGUGCUUAACACAUGCAAGUCGAACGGUGAACCUGCUUCGGUGGGGGAUCAGUGGCGAACGGGUGAGUAACACGUGGGCAACCUGCCCUCAGCUCUGGGAUAACUCCAAGAAAUUGGGGCUAAUACUGGAUAUGACCGCUGACCGCAUGGUCUGGUGGUGGAAAGAUUUAUCGGCUGGGGAUGGGCCCGCGGCCUAUCAGCUUGUUGGUGGGGUAGUGGCCUACCAAGGCGACGACGGGUAGCCGGCCUGAGAGGGUGACCGGCCACACUGGGACUGAGACACGGCCCAGACUCCUACGGGGGGCAGCAGUGGGGAAUAUUGCGCAAUGGGCGGAAGCCUGACGCAGCGACGCCGCGUGGGGGAUGACGGCCUUCGGGUUGUAAACCUCUUUCUGCAGGGACGAAGCGAAAGUGACGGUACCUGCAGAAGAAGCACCGGCCAACUACGUG
rnacentral:rRNA from 1 species